UGACCGGCCACAUUGGGACUGAGACACGGCCCAAACUCCUACGGGAGGCGCAGUGUGGAAUAUUGCACAAUGGGGGAAACCCUGAUGCAGAGACGCCGUGUGAGCGAAGAAAUAUUGCUGUAUGUAAAGCUCUAUCAACAGGGUAGAAAAUGACGGUACCUGACUAAGAAGCACCGGCUAAAUACGUGCCAGCAGCCGCGGUAAU
rnacentral:rRNA from 1 species